ACUGGCCAGGGAGCCGCUACGCAGAUGUUUUCGCCUCUGCGGGUGUAGGCUCCGGGUCGGGCUUCCGGGUCCCUUUCCUGGCUCUGGCGCCUUCCAGCUGUGUGACCGGGCGAGGCCCUGAGCCUCUUGAGGGUUCAGUGCCCUCCUCCGUACAAUGGGCCAACAACAGCCCCUUCCCUGGGGAUCUCGGUGAGGGUUGGUUGCUCUGCAGGGUGCCCUGGGCCUGUGCCAGCGCGCUCAGGCAUCCUGGUGACCAACCACAGCUGGCACUGGUGAACGCAGCCUCUUAGCCCAGGCAGGCUCUGGUCAGCCUCACCUGCUGGGACCGCUGAGUGGUCCAAGAGCUGGCUUGGCUGACUGGGACCUGGGCCUCAGCUUCCCCAUCUGUGCAGGGGGCCGCUGGUGAUACCGGUCCCUGCCAUGCCCUGGUGGAGAUAUGGCCCAGUGAGACUUCGUGAGGGGUCUAGGCCACUGCUGUCACGUGGUACGUCUUCUACCCUGGCCCCUAGGUGGCCCUGGCCUCAGCCUUGCUCUAAAGAGGAAUGAAGCCCAGCCCACAGCCCCUUAGCACAGAUACGCUCGGGAGACGGGACCCUCACCGUUACUCAUCUCCUUACUGUUCCCUGGACACCUUGGGGUCCCUGCGCCUCUCCACCCGUCCCUGCCAGGUCCUCCUGCUCCACCACAGGCCAUCUCCCUGGGCCUCAUCCAGACAGCUGGACACUGAGCACAGCUCUGUUGUCCUCUUCCCUGGGCUGAGUGGACUCAGAGGUGCUGGGGACUGCAUGGCCGCCGGACGAGGCGGGGGCUUUCCAACCCAACACCACCGAGCCUGCCUCUUCCUGCCCUGGAUGCUAUGUCUUCCAUAGAGCCGCUUUUCCAACACAGCAGGAAUUGGGAUCCUGACACAUCCACCAAAGAGCCUUUGAGUACUUCGAAAUCACUUGGAACAGGUUCCUGCAAAGCAAACCCUUCUGGGCUUGAGGAGGAAAUGGACCCGGAACAUUCAGCCCAUCUGAGCACAAACUUUCUGUUGACCUGAGAGGCUGAGGCCUUCCUGUUCCCCACUCAGACCCAGGAGGCAGCCUGCCCAGGGGGAGCCGGGGCAUGGCCUACGAGCUCCUGGAGUCAGGCAGCUCCUGAGGGGCCGGAUGGUCUUGGGCUGGCCAAGCCAGCCUCUGUCGUCCUGUGGAUGGUGGGGCCUUGUGUACGCAUAGCCUCUGCACAGGGGCACACUGUGGGUGUUUGGACGGACAGUGUCUCAAAAACCCAAUUCAGGGCUUGACAGCAGAUUUGUCCUCCACUCCAUGUGCAUAUGAGCAAGGAGAGUUAAUGCAAAGCUUUCUUCAUAGCAGAAGGUUGAAAACAAUGUACCUUUCUAUCAGCAGAGCAGGCAAGGGGGAUACUGUGUGUUUCCCACUGCUGCUGGGACAAAUUAUAACAAAUGUAGCAGCGUAAACCAACGUCCAUUUUUCAUCUCAUGCUCUGGAGGUCAGAGGUUCUCGCGGGUUCUUCUGGUUUUUCUGUUCAAGGUCUCAUGAGGCUGAAAUUGAGGUUUCAGCCAGCAGGGUUCUUGCUGGGAGGCUCCAGGAAGAACUGGCUUCCUGCUCUGACAAGCUGUUGUCAGAAUCCAGGCCCUACAGUUGCAGGACCUGGGUCCCACAUCCUUGCUGGCUGUUGGCCAAAGGCUGCUCCCAGCUUCUGGAGGCUGCUCCGUUCUCUGGCUCACGGCUCCAUCCUCCAUCUUCAGAGCAAAACCAGGUCAUGUCCUUACCUCGACUCUCUCUGCCUCCGCCUCCUGCCUUAUGGCUCGGCCUCCAGGGAGAAGCUGGCCAAUGCGCUCUCUUUUAAGGGUUCAUACGCUGGGCUCACUGGGGAAUCCAGGAUUGUCCCCCACCUUCACCUUAACCACAGCUGCCAAGUCUCCUUCCCCCGCCACACGUCAUGGUAGCACAUGAAGGGAUUGG
rnacentral:lncRNA from 1 species